UAUUCUUACUCUCUGCUCAUACUUUGACUUUGGAUCUACAGAUUAGAUGUUGCAGAACAGAGUGGAGAAGUUAUAUCACGGUCCUUGCAUGGACCUGUCUUGACAAGGGAAAGCAGUGGACAUUUUGAGUCUCAUAUUGAUAGGCAUCUCUUAAACCGGCUACCAGUUGUUGCAAAUGGCCCCAUAGACUGGAGUGAAGCUUUGGAUUUAUUUCCUUCGAUUCUCCUGAGUAGGUUGUAUACUUGAUUUAGUCAUUUUAGAUUCUUCUUUUUUCUUUCCAAUAUUCAACUUUUGUUGCAUGAGAAAAGAAUUUUAUUAGCUAGGCCUCUCAAGUGUUCUCUUAAUUGUUCAUGUGAAGAAUUUGAACACAAUUUCUUCCUAUUUUUAUUUGGUGCAGUCAGUUGAAGGCAUGAAAGUUGUUUGUCAUGAGCUGACCACUACUGAUCCUGACAGCAGUGCGAUGGAUGAUCUUGUCAAGGAUGUAGAUAGGCUAGUUGCAUGUCUUACAAGCAAGGUAAAUAAAUAUCUUCUAUUCUC